GCUCAUUGUGAUUAUGGAGCAAAUAGUGAACGAUAUCUUAAACGACACCUUUUAAAGCAUACCGAUUCUAAUUUUAAAUGUGAUAUUUGUGAUUACGAAUCAAAUAGCAAAUACUGCUUUAAACGUCACCUUUUAAAACAUAGCGGUCCAAAAGAUUUUAAAUGUGCUCAUUGCGACUUUGAGACACCUAAAAAAUUCUCUCUUAAAAACACCUUAUAACACACAAACCGUUUUUACAAGGAACAAAUUUCUCGUUAAAUUAAAUACGCACACUUCGGGAAAUCAUAACAAAAAAUAUGCAUUUGGAAGGAUCUAAAUAGAUUUUUUCAAUUUACAUGAACUUCUGAAAAUCAAACAAUUUUAGCUGGUAAUAAUUAACGUAAAAUACUUUUAAUUUGUGGCGAUCGUAGUAGUACAGAAAGUGGGUAAGUUGCAAAAUAGGUACUUCGUAAUUUAAUAUGAAGUGACCCCUUUUUGCGCCGCCUAUGGUUUUCAGUUGAUUACAUACGGAUGCUAUUGCGCAUGUGCCGCGUUCUGCUUGCGUUGCAAAAUGUAUCCCUGUUUGUGUUGGGCACAAAUGCCGAUUUUAAGGGGUCAACUAACUUCACUCCGAACACUAAAUUCAAAUACGGUGGGAAAAUACUAAAAGGAUAUGGCUACCAUGUCCAGCCUUCUCCUCUGCCGGAACAAAUGGCUCGUGAUCGGAUCGCCUAGGACAGAGACCCUACAUUUUACUCACCGUUAAGUUGUAACCGUUACACUCGGAAUGGGGGCUGCUAUCGGGGAGGAAAAGAAACAGUCAAAUGCGGCCUAAAGUAUUUAUUGUUACCCAAACAGAUUCCCUAAUAAUUUGGAAAUGCAGAAGUCCCUAACGAGUAGGCCUGUGCGAGGGAAGACCUCUGCCAGAGAAACCCUCGACUCGUGUUCGUAGAAGCUAAAGGGGUUGACGUUAAUAAACAAGCUAACACAGGGUUUCCUGAAAUAUAAUACGAUACUCUUAACAGUACUUGGUAAAUAGUAGUCAUUACGGCGAUAUAAAAUAGUCAUUAUUGGAACAACGGAUUGGAACAAUACCAGGGGAAUAAACUCUUCUAGCUGGCUUAGUCGGUACAACAUGAAAUAGCAAUGACAUCCAAACUCGUGUUCCCAAGCGUCAAUUAUCUCACGAUUAUACCCAAACUCGGUCACACACACCUUUCAGAAACGGAAGACUGUUAAUUAUAGUUCCACCCCUGGAACAGGUAACAAGACUGCUCUGGGUUUGCGAGUACAACUUGCCUAAAGCUGAAGGUUCGAAACUAGAGUCGCUUGCCUUGUGGUUUUCUUGCAAUUUUAUAAUUUGAUUCGCCGAUGGACUCUAGUUUCUCACGGUCGAAAGAUUAGUGUCCUCUCAUAAAUGGUCAUUGCACACGUAGAAAAUCAUCGCUUCUACUCUACAACUAAGCUACUCAACAACUGUGAACACGAAUCUGAAUAGUCAUAUAGGCGCCUUCCAAGUUAACAUAAUAAACACAAAUCCGAAACUUCCCCAGCUAGAGGGUCGCUUUCCCCAUAACAUUUUGGCAAGAUAUUUAACACCAGGCAUCCCCUUACAAACAAAGUACAAAAUUGGCAG